rnacentral:rRNA from 1 species
UACGGAGGGCGCAAGCGUUGUUCGGAAUCACUGGGCGUAAGGCGCGUGUAGGCGGCUUGGCAAGUCGGGUGUGAAAUCCCGAGGCUCAACCUCGGAACUGCACUCGAAACUGCCUGGCUUGAGUCCCGGAGAGGGUGGCGGAAUUCCCGGUGUAGGGGUGAAAUUCGUAGAUAUUCGGAGGAACACCAGAAGCGAAGGCGGCCAACUGGCCCGAUACUGACGCUGAGGCGCGAAAGCGUGGGGAGCAAACAGG